UGCAUUUUCGGCUUUAAUUCAAAGCUGUAUCAAAUCAAAUAAAUGUGUGUCAUGUUAAGGGGAACUAUUAAUUAUAAAUUUUUACUGAUCCCCAUAGUUAACAAGUUUUGAUAAGACAAAGGAAGCAUGCUAAAUUCAGAAUUACAUGUGUGUGAGAACUUUGAUGUAGGGGAGGGUUGUUUAAUUUAUUAAACGUAAAAUUUCAUAUAGUACAUUACAGGUAUAUCCAUGUAAAAUGCCAAUUGAAUUCUUUAUAUUGAAAACAUUUAUUUUGCCAAAUUGUCACAGACAUCUUUUUAUAUGUGCAUUCAUGUGCAGAUUCAGAACUUUGCUUACAAAAGGUGUAUCUAAGACUUAUUUUGUCCUGAGUUUGAAUUUUCAAAGGGGGGGUGACAUUUCCCUUUUCAGAUCCGCGCAUUGGAACAAAGCCUAUGAAUUAAACAGCUACAAUUGUUUGUUUAUAUGCAAUAUUGUAUUUGCCCAUUGAAUUAAAAGCUUCGUCUUUCUAAAAUAAAAACAUGUAUGAAACAGAUUUCUAAAAGUGUCUUUAUGAUUUUAAACGGACCUGGACACAAUUUGAGCUGACCUCUGUAUCUUGAAAGUAGCUAGACUUCUAACUUUCAAAUUUUGGUGAAUCAUUCAAUAUGCACAAAUAAACCAUUUUAUACAUAAAAAUUAAAAAUUUAAUUUUGAUCCAAAAUCGUAUUUAUGUCCCUUUAAAUAAUUUCGUAUUACGCUGAUCAUAUGAACUGUUGAUUUGCCGAAUUUAAGACACGUGUAGGUCACGUUAGACACGCCAUCUAUUGUAUCAGUAGUUAUUUAACUAGUUGGUUUUUCAUGUCCAUCAUUUAAACAUGUAUGCAUGAUUGUGUAUUUCAAUUUACAAAUUAAAUAUUAAGCAAAAUCUUGAUCAUAUCAGCAUAUAUUUUGUAAUGGGAAUGUUCCUUAACGAAUGUACUUCUGAUGCAAUGAAUAUAUGUUAUGUAAGAUACAUGUAGUUGUUUUGUAUCCUUUGCGUAAUAAAAUACC
rnacentral:sRNA from 1 species